rnacentral:sRNA from 1 species
CACCACUGACUUCAUUUUUUCUGUCACCUAAAAAGCGUCAAAGGGAGCUGAAAGCAUAACUCAGUUGACAGAGCUCUUGCCUAUCAUCUACAGAUCCUUGAGUUCCAAACCCAGAACUCCAUAAAUUGGAUGUGGUGUCCAAUGCCUGUAAUGCCAGCACUCUGGAAAUGGGCUACCACAAGAAAUUAAAUGCAAAGGCAAACGAAGGAAUUGAUCGCUCUUCCGUGAAGCCAGGCAUUAGGAUGUGUGCAAGGGUAUACGGCAAAGCUGUUCUUCUCAUCGAAGCUAUUGCUCUGAAGAAAUCGCUUUCAGUAAAAAGGUGAUUUCUGUUCGAGUGCAGUAAGUGAGAACUAAAGAGAUGGCUCAUCUGGA